rnacentral:rRNA from 1 species
UUAGAGUUUGAUCCUGGCUCAGGAUGAACGCUGGCGGCGUGCUUAACACAUGCAAGUCGAACGAUGAAGCCCAGCUUGCUGGGUGGAUUAGUGGCGAACGGGUGAGUAACACGUGAGUAACCUGCCCCCGACUCUGGGAUAAGCCCGGGAAACUGGGUCUAAUACCGGAUAUUACCUCUUGCCGCAUGGCAGGUGGUGGAAAGAUUUAUCGGUGGGGGAUGGACUCGCGGCCUAUCAGCUUGUUGGUGAGGUAAUGGCUCACCAAGGCGACGACGGGUAGCCGGCCUGAGAGGGUGACCGGCCACACUGGGACUGAGACACGGCCCAGACUCCUACGGGAGGCAGCAGUGGGGAAUAUUGCACAAUGGGCGAAAGCCUGAUGCAGCGACGCCGCGUGAGGGAUGACGGCCUUCGGGUUGUAAACCUCUUUCAGUAGGGAAGAAGCGAAAGUGACGGUACCUGCAGAAGAAGCGCCGGCUAACUACGUGCCAGCAGCCGCGGUAAUACGUAGGGCGCAAGCGUUAUCCGGAUUUAUUGGGCGUAAAGAGCUCGUAGGCGGUUUGUCGCGUC